GGGACAUGUGAAAAAUGUAAGGCCAGCAUACUUCUGAGUAAAGGUAAACUAAAGUAUACAAAUGCCCCGACCUCAGUUCUUAUAACAAUAAGCAAUCUCAACAGUCGUAUGUUAUUGGCGACGAGUGAAACGCACAAGAGAAGAAUGCAAUUUACAAGACGAACUACGUGCGUACCCCUGCUCCUGUGUCCCCUCAGAUCAGCACAUCCUGUCCCAGGUACUGGCGUUGCUGGGCGUGUUGGGGGCAUACUGUUUCCUCUACCUCUUAUCCACUGAGCUCUUGCCAACUG
ensembl:lncRNA